rnacentral:rRNA from 1 species
AGAGGUGAAUGGAACUCAUGGAGUAGGGGUGAAAUCCGUUGAUAUCAUGGGGAACACCGAAAGCGAAGGCAAUUCACUGGCGCAUUCCUGACACUGAGACACGAAAGCGUGGGUAGCGAACGGGAUUAGAUACCCCGGUAGUCCACGCCCUAAACGUUGUCGAUUGGCUUUGGGGAGUAUCGACCCUCUCCGAGGCGAAGCUAACGCGUUAAAUCGACCGCCUGGGUAGUACGGCCGCAAGGCUAAAACUCAAAGGAAUAGACGGGGACUUGCACAAGCAGUGGAUUAUGCGGUUUAAUUCGAUGAUGAACGAAGAACCUUACCAAGAUUAGAAAUCCCAACGACGAAUAGUAGAAAUAUUAUUCUUUCGCAAGAACGGUGGGACAGGUGAUGCAUGGCCGUCGUCAGUUCGUGAUUUGAAUUGUUCCCUUAAGUGGGGUAACGAACGCAACCCUCGUUGCCAGUUAUAAGUGUCUGGCGAGACUGCCCCGAUUUUUGAAAAUUUUUGGGUUCCUGACACUCGGUGUCGGAAUCCCUAGACACCGAGUGUCUAAAAGUUUUCAAAAAUCGGGGAGGAAGGCGAGGAUGACGCCAGGUCAGCAUGUCCCUUGAUACCUUGGGCCACACGCAUAAUACAAUCGCCGCUACAACAGGUUGCGACGGAGUAAUCCUGAGCUAAUCCUAAAAAAGCGGCGUCAGUUCGGAUUGGGGGCUGCAACUCGACCCCAUGAAGUUGGAAUUGCUAGUAAUCGCGGGUCAGCUAUACCGCGGUGAAUACGUUCUCAAGUCUUGUACUCAC